rnacentral:lncRNA from 1 species
GGCGCCGCCGAGCCCUGCCUGGAUGCUCAGUCAAGGCACUAAGGCAAAAAAAAAAUCAGCAAUUUAUAGAAAGAAGAAGCUAUAGUCUGUCGGGAUAUCCAACACCAACAGAUAUUCUGAUGGCAAAUCAAAUGGAAGAAAAGAGGAAGCAUGACUGCAGAUCGCAUCAGUUCUCUUUGUGGAUUAUAUUUUCAUUAAAAUGUAUGGAUCUAUCUUUUCCUUGUUCUUAUAUCUAGAUCAUGAGACUUGACUGAGGCUGUA